rnacentral:rRNA from 1 species
UCGGGAAUUUUGGGCAAUGGGCGAAAGCCUGACCCAGCAACGCCGCGUGAAGGAUGAAGUAUUUCGGUAUGUAAACUUCGAAAGAAUAGGAAGAAUAAAUGACGGUACUAUUUAUAAGGUCCGGCUAACUACGUGCCAGCAGCCGCGGUAAUACGGAGGGAGCUAGCGUUGUUCGGAAUUACUGGGCGUAAAGCGUACGUAGGCGGUGACUCAAGUCAGAGGUGAAAGCCUGGAGCUCAACUCCAGAACUGCCUUUGAAACUAGGUCGCUAGAAUCACGGAGAGGUGAGUGGAAUUCCGAGUGUAGAGGUGAAAUUCGUAGAUAUUCGGAAGAACACCAGUGGCGAAGGCGGCUCACUGGACGUGUAUUGACGCUGAGGUACGAAAGCGUGGGGAGCAAACAGGAUUAGAUACCCCCGUAGUCCCUGAGCGGGCUGGCAAGGCGCAU